CCCUGAAACGCCCCACCAACCCCCAAAGAGUCCUCCUGCUCGACCCUGCCACCGCCUGGUGACCGCUGGAUAUUCGAGCUGAGAUAGACGAUUCCAGUCCCAUCAUUUUAAAAGAAGACAAUGAGUCUUGCUUCGAGAGGGGGAAAAGUGGACAAGCAGAAUUCUGUGAGCUGCAAACUGGAGGCCUUGCUGUCUGGAGAGCCUCAAGAACUGAGGAAACCACCCAUCAGGAAAGGCUGUUGUGAAGGAAGACCAAAGGCAUCGGUCCACAGCUCCAUUGAGCCCCCAGGUUGUUCGCUCCUCGAAGACUGGAAUGCCCUGAUGGUCCAGACGGCUGCUUUCUCUGCUGGAGACAACACGGCUGAAGAACCAAUUAAAAGAAGAAAGAUAACUUAGUGCUCUCAAUCCCCAUACUACCACUCCCUUCACCUUUAUGAGCUGGGAGAGCCAGGACAGGAAAAGAAUAGCUUAGGAGCCUCACUACCCUGGAUCUCAUUCAGAGAGAAACCAUCCAGUGGACAGGGCAUACUUGGAAUUCUAAAGUGAGCUAGAGCCCAUGUCAAAAAACAAACCAACAAAUGAAUGAACCCGUAUUGUAAAUAAUGAGAGCCAAGCAACAUAGCGCUCUUUUGAAAAAUAGAACUAAAGUAGGAACGUGUCAGUCAAUCUGUCUACAGCACUGUCCGAGAGAAAACGCAUCUAACUGAGGAUAUGAGGUACAGUCUGGUGGCAGGUAGACAGUUGGGGGUUGGGGGGGGCUUAAUCCUUCAUCAUAGAUUUUUUUUUUUUUUGGUUCUUUUUUUCGGAGCUGGGGACCGAACCCAGGGCCUUGCGCUUCCUAGGUAAGCGCUCUACCACUGAGCUAAAUCCCCACCCCCUUCAUCAUAGAUUUUAAAAAAGUCAUUUUAUUGUAUAUUCUCUGUAUUUAGAGAUAUUAGAUUAUUGGAGAAACUUUUACUUGUGGAGAUAACUGAUAACCAAAACAGGGUUGUCCCUAACAACGAAUCUCCAUUUCCAAAUAAGCAAAUAUUAUCUGCUACUAGAAUGAAGUAGUUUAUAAUUAAUAUAAUGAUCAUGUGUUGGUUUCUAAUUCGGAGUUUUGUAAAUUUAGUUAGUGAAAAUUGAUGCUCAAUUCAACUCUUGGUUGAGGUGACAAAACCAAGCUCCUGAAAAACCUGUCAUCACAUGACCCUUGUCAUUCCCUCCUUUAUAAUAUCAGAGGAUCUACUGCAUACUAAGACAAGAAUGCAGAGACUUGUGAGCAGGAAUAUCUGCAUUGUUGGAAUAGAUGUCCUCUAAAAUCUUGAAAGUAGUCUAAAUAUCAAUAAAAGUCUAGCUGAGUAGAUCAUGGCAAACAUAUACUCUAUAAGACUCUCAAAGUAUUGAAAGGAAUAAUAAAAAAUUAUAGUUAAUAAUGUGAAAAAUCUAAGAUGCGUUACUAUAUAGUUUUUAUAAAAUACUUUAUUAAAAUAAUUAUAAAUUUUAAGGCAAUGCAAAUUACAUGGAGGAAACCAAGAGCUAGAUAAGCAGACAGACAGGGAAAGGAAUGACAGACGAUGAUAAAGAUGACAAACGUCCUGCUUCUUCACUUCCUAAGGUAAGACAAAGGGCGGGGGGUGGAGGGAGAACGACACGACCGGGACUUUUCUCCUAUCAACAGGGCCCUCCUUCAAGCUGACCACUCCAGGCUGGCCAGACAUGUUCAAGGGCGGUCCUGAACACAUUUAUCUAAAACUGUGGACCUAUCAGCUCUCCCCAUCUCCCACCCCAUCCCUACCCACCCUCCAACCUUCCUUUCCUUUUGAAAAGUGUGUUUUGUCUGCAUGUGUAUCUAUGUGCCAUUUGAGUGCAAUACUCAUGAAGGCUGGAAGAGGGUGUUGAUCCCCUGGGAAUGAAAUUGCACACGGCUCUGAGUCACCACGUGGAUGCUAAGAACUGAGGCGAAGUCCUCCGGAAGAGCAGCCAGCAAUCUUAGCUGCUGAGUCAUGUCUCCAGCCCCCCAGCUCCUUUUCUUUGUUUAAGGGGAUAAUCCCAAAAUUAAAGGGAAGGAACCCAUCCCAGACCACCAAACACCGCGCACGCGUGCGCACACCAACCCAGCCCUACACCGAAGAAGACAAAUUCAUUCAGACAGAACCCUGAAAUAGGAAUUUCUGGUUUCGCCGGAGAUUCAGUUGUAUCAUGUGAUGGUUUUCUGUAAACUGUCUUAUGAGAGGAUGUUUUGCUGAAGCAGACACAUGGUCUUUUUCUGGAAGCUGCCUGGUGAAAGGCCUUUAACGUUUUGCUGGAGCAGAGGCUUGGGACACUUGAGAGGACACAUGUUUGGAAAGAGUUUAAGUAUAACCCAAAGACAUUGGACACCCCUGUUGCACUGGUUUGCCUUACAACUCUUUGCUGGCCUUCCUUGGGCUCCGCUGACAUUGGUCUUUCUUUGCUGAUGACACUUUUUGCAUUGGUUCACCUUGCCUUCUUCACUGAUCAUCUCUUGUCAUGACUUCUUAGAAACCUACCAACGAACUUCUGGUGGUACUCUAGCUGCUUCUUGCUGCUUCCUCAAACUCUUGCCGAUCCUUAAAGCCUUUGCUGAGUGGACUGCACUGAUUCAUGUUUGAUAUUUUGCUAGUGGACUGGACCAUUGAAGUGAAGAUUGUAAUGGACCCAAAGAACUAGUUCUAAACAGGUCCACAACUCCCAUUUCCCAUUAACCUCUCCUUCCCCUUACCUCUUUUAAGUGGUGGUCUAGAAGGGAGGUUGAAGCUUUAAAGAACCAUAAUUAAAGUAGGUUUUGAAGAUUCUAAGCCUACAGAACCCCUAGGUGGGUAACAUUACAAUGUAAUUAAGUGUAGGAGCUGGGAAGACGCCUCAAUUGUUUGCCACACAAGCAUGAGGACCCCCAGCACCUGCACGAAAAGCUGGGCGUGGCAGGCUUUGGUUGGGCCACUCCCACCCCCACCCUCAUCCCCACCCCUGAGCUGGUGGCUGGAAGGGAGGCAGAGAUAGGAGGCUCCCUGGGGCUUGCUGAUCCACUAGAAUAGACAAUCAGUGAACUCUAGGUUCAGUGAGAAGCUCUGUCUCACAAAUACAAUGUGGAAAAUUAUGAGAAAGAGAUUAUCAACCUCUGGCUUCUACACUUAUAUUCAAGUGCAUACAUCUUGCACACACCAAAAUAUCCUUGUGAUUUACAUACUUAAUGUAUGUGUCUCUGUACGACGAGUAUGAUGUUUGUAUAUGAACAAACAUUUCUGGAAAAACUUAAUUGUUUGUCAUUAUUUAAUAGAGUAGGAUUGGAGGAUUAGGAGAAUAGAAGUAUAGACUUUUAUGCUUUAUAACAGUGUGCAAUCUGCGUGCCUGUGAAUAGUGGUUGAAUUGAUAUGCUGUAAGUCUACGAGGAUUUAUUAAUUUAUAAUAAGCAAAUGUAUAUUUAUUAUAGAUGAACUCAGUUAGUAGGACAGAAAGCACCAGGGCCUGUGGUUGUGCCAAGCACAGAGCUGCUCACUAAAUGCAGGGAAGCUAAAGUGAUUUUCAUUUUUCAUGGGAUGAUUUCUCUUGGAAAUAUUAAUAUUUCUUCAGCUAAAAAAGAGCUUCAUUUCCAAAGCAGAGAACUCUGAAGAUUCAUGUUAGAAUAAAAGAACACUAUCAAAAUUCACUUCGAACCUAAGGAUCCAGAUGAUGUGUGUCAUUUGUUGGUUGGUUGGGUUGCUGGUUUUGGCUGGUUUUGGCUGGUUUUGGCUGGUUUCGAGUCAGGGCCUCUAUGCAGUCCAGACUGGUUGAAGCUUCAGCCUCCAGGGUUACACCACCAUGCCCACUUAACUGUGUCUUCCUAGUCCACAUAAAAGAGAUUUUGUUUAAUUCUCUGGGGUAUCUAUCAGAAGUGAGAUUAUUGGAGCAUCUUAUCUACUUGGCAUCUCAACAGUGGGCGGGGUCAUCUUACAUUCCCAUCAGCAAGAUUCUAGAGGGUCCCCUUCUUCACAUGCUCUCCAGCACUUGUCGUUUUCUGAUUUUUGUCCUUAGCUACCCUAUUCAUACAGUAGUAAUAUUGUUAUAGAUUUGUUUGUGGUUUCCUAGUAUUCGGUGAUAGUGAAUAUUUUUCAUGCUUGUUAAGUUGCUCAUGAAAGUUCUUACUUUUAAACUAGCAUAAUUGGUUAGGUUUUUUUUCUGUUUGUUUGUUUGUUUGAGCGAUGGUCUCAUUCUGUAGCCCAGGCUGCCCUAGAACUCACAAUCCCUGUGCUUCUCCUUCCUAAGUACUGAGAUUUUUGAUGGUCCAGCAUACCUGGCUGUUGUUAUUUUCAUUUUUGAGUUCUAAAUAUUCUUCAUAGAUUAUAAAUACUCGAGCCUUAUCAGAUACAGUAUUUACAAAUAUUGUCUCCAUUCUGUAGGCUGCUUUUAGGUUUUCUUGGGCAUAGUGCUGGAAGGCUCUAUGCUUGAUACAGAUGGAGAAAAGCAAUUAAAAGUCUUACCCAGCUGUGAUUCUUACAAGCUAUACCAACAGUUGGCCUAGAAAGGCGUGCCCUCUGAUCCAAUAGUGGCAUGGAUGUUAUGGGGUAACCAACUAUGCUUUAUUGGAUUUGAGACCUACUUUAUAAUAUUUAAAUUUUGUUUUAUUUUAUGUGUAUGGAUAGAUGUUUCACCUGCAUGUAUGUCUGCACUGAGCACAUGCCUGAUGCUCAUGGAGGCCAAAAAAGGACAUCAAGUACCCUGAUGCUGGAGUUACAGAUAGUUGUAAGCCACUACCCAUGUGCUGUAAAUCAAAUCUGGAUUUUCUGGAACAGCAGCCAGUGCUUAUAACUGCUGGGCCACCUCUCCAGCCUCUAUAAAAUUAAAAAAUAAAAAGCAAGACAAAAAAUCCCUAGGGUCUUGCCACAUCAUAGCUCAGGGUAUCCUGGAACUUGCCAUGUAGUGCAGACUGAACUCAAACUUAGAUCCUUCUGCCUCAGCCUCCCAAAGAAAGGGAUUACAAAUGUAUACUAUUACAACUGAAUCAUGUUCCCUUCUGUUCUAAUUUAUAUUCUAUUGCUAUGAUAUGUGCCACGGGGAAGAAAGAGUUUAUUUCAUCUUGCAGCUAAUGGUCAAUCAGGAAGAGAAGUCAGAGCAAAAACUCGAGGCAGGAGCCUAAAGGCAGGAACCAUAGCACAGAUCAUAAAAGAAUGCUGCUUAUUGGCUUGUUCUACACAGCAAACACAGCUUGCUUUUUAUACAACCAGGCAUACCUGCCCAGGGUUGGCACCAUCCACAGUGGUCUGGGCCCUCUGACAUAAAUCAUCAAUCAAGAAAAUGCACCACAGGCUUGCCUACAGGCCAAUCUGAUGGUGGCAUCUUCUCAGUUAAGGUUCCUCUUCCCAGAUGACUACAGUUUGUGUCAAGUUGACAUAGAAACAAAAUUACCCAGAACUCCAUCUUUCAUCUCUGUCACCAUUAUUAGCCAACUUGUUCCUUCUUAUCACCUGAUCUGGAAAGCUUUCUAUGUAAUGUGCCUAUCAUGGGUAGAAUAGUAUCCAUUUAUUACUACCAGGUUAUUUCUUUGCUCAAGAAUGGGUGACGAUUACGACUGUCUGAACUACUAAUUAGAGACUGCCCUUGAAGUGCAGUUAUGUUAUCAGACUAUGAUAAUCGUACCUUUAAGUCUAAAUUAGCCAGCCAGAUUUACCUACUGCCUCUACGAUAGGUAGGUUGGAAGAAGAGCUGGAUCAAAUUAUUAAUUCAAGGUCGAUGGAAGCAGAUUCUUUUUUAACAGGAGUAAAAACAGUGCUUUUGAUCCAAAGACCAACUUUCAUUUCUCAUUCCACAGAUGUUAAAUAGACACCUACUGAAUACCAGUAUUACGAGAAACAAUGGUCCAAAUACUGCACUCUAGUUAUCACUUAGGAGAGUUUUAAAAAUAUCUAAUAAAAGCACGAAUGCAGUACUGCGGGGACAACAGAGUGGAGUAAGUCUUAUUAGAGAGAGAUUCCCUUCUCACUUAACAGAUCUGUUAAAUCGCCACUAUUAUUAUCUAGAACUGUCUCCCCUCCCAUCACUACUUUAUCUUUGAACUCAUUCAUUUACAAACAUGUAUUACUUAUCUAUCUAAUCCCAACAAAAGAAUAAAGGAAUUCUAAGCUCCUUGGAAUUGGGCUGUGACAUAGGAAUGGUUAGGCAGUUGUAGAGCUGUGUAAGUUUUACAGGACACUUCCCAACAUGCUGGUAUGUUUUUUAAAAUGUGUAAAACUGGAGGUUGACAAGAUAGCACAGUGGGUAGAAUCGCCUGCUGUGAAAGUCUGCUGACUUGAGUGUAAUCCUGGAGGCCAUGAGCAAGAAGGAGAGAAGUGACUACACAGAAUUAUCCUUUGGCUUCCAUAACUGUGCUUCAGUGCUCAUCACACACACACACACACACACACACACACACACACACACACACACACUUUUUAAAAUAUCACUAAAUUAAUACAUUGGGGGAAAUAUAAGGUGAGUCAACAUCAAGGCAGUGGCCACACGGCAAGAGCUGAGAGCUGAGAGACAAGUGCAGACCAGCCAUGGUGACUCCACAGUGCUGGAGGUCACGUGGCAAGUUGCAACAAGGUACCUCCAUAACAACUAAAGUGGGUUUUGCACAUUUUUUUUCCGUGUACACAUUACAGGGAAUGGAGGCUAACUUGUGCCAUUUUCCUUUACUUACAUCCUGACUCAGAUGUUUUGGCCAGUGAGACAGAAACAUCAGAGAAUCCAGAAAGGAAUUCACAACAAGCUCAAAGGAUGGGCAACCUUCAGGGAGCAGAUAGAAUGGAAGACAGAUCCCUGUAUAGGAUAGAUGUAGGAAAACAGAGAGUCUGGGUGGGCAGAGAUUUAAAGUGGACUGUAAGUGAGUGAACUGCAAAGUCUUACUAGUGGACACUCAUUUUGCUGUCCAAUGCCGAUUAACUUUCUAGUUUCUGCUUGUAAACCACCAUCUAUCUCUCCUAUCUUCUGACUAAAGAAACUUCUAGUAGAACUCCAUCACAUAUUCCCCUGGAUGCUGAGACGGCCCAGGAAUGGACUGUAAGCUGUAAAGAGCAUUUUCCCCAGUGGCCCUGUCUUUGGAGUUGUUCAUGGGAAGGAUGCUAGAAGCUGGAGAUAAUGCUGACAUCUCAGAAGGCACAACUGAGAGUUGGUGUGGGGAGUGAGUCCCAGCCAUGGGGCCCAGCCCCUGGAUGGAGUCCUGCCUGAGACUACAGCCCUCAGUUAUGCCAGCUGAUUAAUUUUCAUGGGCAUUUACUUCGUCUUGUUAGACUUUUCUGUCACAUGCAACAUAAUUGUCCAUUAAAGACAAUAAAAAUAAACCCUGAACAAUGCAAAUGAAAGUUCCUUGGUGGGCAUAGCUGUUUCCGUUAUCGAGGAAUAAAUUACCUGCAAGGUUGGAUUGGAAACAGGCGUCAAAAUGAUGUUAAAUCUCAGUCUCGGUAGGCCUCUAUGCUUAGGACACUCACCCUCCAUGAUGUUUGUUUUGUUUUGUAUUGUUUUGGGCUAGGCACAAACUUUAAAUCCCUGCACUCAGGAAACAGUGACUCUCCAUGAAUUCCAGGCAAGCCAAAGCUACGUAGUGAAACCCUGGUUUGGAAUAAAAGUAAAUAAAUAAAAAUUGUUUUGGAAGCUGGAGGCCAGAGAGAUGGCUCAGUGGUUAGGAGCACUGGCUUGCUCCUGCAGAGGACUCAGGUUCAGUUCCACACACCCACAAGGUGGGUGCCUAACUGUAUCUCCAGUUCCAAAGGACUCACCAUUCUCCUUCUCUGCUCUCCCUGGACCCCAGGCACACAUGUGGUAUACAUUUAAAAAUGAAUCAAAUUAAAAAAAUUAUUUGUGCCUUUAAUCUCAGUACUCCAGAGGCAGAGGCAGGUAAAUCUCUGUGGGUUCAAGGCCAGUCUGGUCUGCAAAGUGAGUGUCUUAUUUAAUGUAGAGUUUGCUUGUUAGCCACUGCAUGCUUGGCCAGGAGCUGUGGAAGCACUGGGAUUACAGAUGUGCACCGCUGGUAUACUACCAUGCCUGGUUUACCUGGGUUCUGGGAAUUUGAACUCAGAUCCCCACACUUGCAUGGCAAACACUUUACCCACUGAGUCAUCUCCCAGUCCCCUCUGCAAUGUUUUGUAGUAGAACUCAGUUCCUCUCACUUGUAUGGUCUACUUUUUAACAAGCUCAAAUUAGAUACAGAAAUCAUUAGACUUUGAUCAAAUGAUAUUCUUACAGUUUGGGUUUUCUUUAUGAUAUGUUCAAGAUAUAUGGAUAUUCCAUAAAUAUAAUGCUGUUAAUAGUGUUAAUUUUAGUAGCCAACCAAAUGGCAGAAAAACUGUCAUAUAUGAUGGUCUCAUCAACUGUCAACUUGAUGAGAUCUAGAAUCUGAUUCCAGAUAAUAAGGGAUUGUCUUGAAUAGGUUAAUGAAGGUGGGAAGACCUGCCCCACUGUGGGGGCACAAUUCCCUCAACUGAGAUCUUGGAGAAAGUGGGCCAAGCAUAAGCAUUCGUCACAUUCUGCUUCAUUGAUGAGAUGCUCUAAAUUCCUAACCCUCACCACAAUGGCCUGCAAACUCAAGCUGCAAACAAGAACAAACUUUCUCCCUUUAAAUGAUCAAAGCUGCAGGAAGAGUGCCUGAGACACUACAUACUCGGUGUGUCUAAAAACCAGUGCAUAGGUGGUGGCCACUGUGUAUGGGCUAAUACUAACAACAGAGGCCUUGACUGCAAAGGCCUGAUCAAGGGGCAGGGCUCCCCAAAACUUCUCUGGAGUUUUGGCAUAGAGCAGUAUCAUACAUCAACAUGGAGGCUGGAGAGGGCAGUAUCACAAAUGGCUGUAUCAAGAAGUCAGAAUUUGGGGUUGGGGAUUUAGCUCAGUAGUAGAGCACUUGCCUAGGAAGUGCAAGGCCCUGGGUUCGGUCCCCAGCUCCGAAAAAAAGGAAAAAAAAAGAAGUCAGAUUUCAAGAUAAAAAUAGAGGGAGGUCGGCUGGUUAUAGCGCACCUCUUUAAUCCCAGUGCUUGGGAGACAGAGGCAGGCAGAGGCAAGCAGAUCUCAGUGAGGAUUUUCAGGACAGCCAGGGCUACACAGAGAGACCCUGUAUCAAAAAAAACAACAAGUAGUAAUACAGAAGGAUGAAGGCCCUAGUUCCCAGCAAAACUUUCACUGAUACAAUUAACCCUAUCACAGAUUAUUUAAAUAGCGUGGGACUGAUAGCUUAAAAAAAUAAACAAACAAACAAACAAACAAAAACCCCAAAAAGACAAAAAAAACCUGGGUCUGGCUCCUGGCACACACUUGGUGGCUCUAAAUCAGUUAAAAAUCUAGUUCUAGGGGAUCUGACACGCUUUUGGUCUCCGAGGGCACCAGUCAUGCAUGUAGUGCACAUAUAUUCAUUCAGGCAAAACACUUAGACAUAUAAAAUACAUCUAAAAAUUUAAAUGUGACUUUUAAAAUUCUAAGUCUUAAAAAUAAAAUAAAGUGGCUUCACUUAUCCUAGUCUUUCUUCAUUAGUAAUUUGAAGAGCAUUGGGGAAAUAUACUGCAGAAAUAUAGGAACAAUGACAAAAGCUAAAACUGAAUGAUACCUCACAAUGUCCUAGGUACCAUUUUAAGUGUUUUCCUUGCAUUAAAGGCCAAGUGACUCGGGGAACCAGUUUGAAGCAAGAGUGAGCUCAGGAUGUGUCCAAACACUGAUCUAGUCCUGAGAUCAAGAGUCAGGACUGUUUCCUCUUCUCUCUGGGUCUGCAUUCUCUGGUGCUUAUAGUCUGAACGACGGCUACCCCCACCACCCUUGAGGUAGUCAGACAGCCUGGUGGCCAAAAUACAGGUUUAACUUCCUCUCUCCUUAUAAGGACAUGUCCAGCAAGCACCUGGAAUUCCUCUUCAUGCAAAUGAAGCAUUCCCAGAACCCCAGCCCCGGUCAAUAAUGUACACUUACCCCUGUCCUCAAAACUUCUACCCUUACCCCAAGGUUUAUACAGCUCUUGUUAUCCCCAGUAAAAGAGAGCUGUUUCAAGGAAACCUGAAAGCUGUUUCUCUUGGUCCUCAAGCCAGUGGAGAUCCUGAGAACCCACCCACCCCAAUAAAGUUCCUUCCUUCCAUUCCAGCUGCCGUGCACAGAUGCCUGGAUACCCUGAGGGCAGAAACAGAAUCAGGCCUGCAUUAAACCACGAAUACCUCACAACAGCCCUACAAAGUAAACAUAUUAGCCUCAUUUUUCGGAGGUUCAGAAGUUAGGAUUCUUGCCCAAAGCAAGGAAUACAGUGGAUAGUAAGCAAUUUGAAGCAAGGCAGCUCUUUCUUGCUUUCCUACGUAACUAACAAUACAGGGAGCAAUCCAAAUUAGAACAGGAAACAAAGGAAAAAUCCAAAAGACUUUUCAAGAGUUUUCAGUGCGGGUGUGGUGUGUGAUCCAAUGGCACAGCACUUGGCUUACACACAGCAUGCUUGAGGUCUUAGUCUAUUCCAUGAGAACACAAAAUGAAAAUAAAUUGUGUCUGUCAAUGUUUAUGUGUUAUGGUAUGACACCAUAAUGCAUGCAUACAUACAACAUGUAAUGCUCAGAAGAGGAUAGCCGGCAAAGCCUCAUCACCUCGGGCACGUGUCACUUUGACAUUAGGUAUAAUUUUAGCAAGUCUGUCAAUGUUUUGUCAAGUCCAACAGAAAUGAUGAAGGACAAAUUAAAAUGCUGGCUUCUGAGGAAAAAAAUUAAGACAGGCAGGAAAAUGAAAAUGAAACCUGAAGCUUCCAGAAAGAAUGUUUUCAAGAUGGAUUUAGUGAUGUUUACCACUGUGCGAUGUAAGGGGAUCACAAGUUCAAGGCCAGCCUGGGCUACACAGUGAGACCCUCCCUACCUAAGACAUAAGAAUGUAACCUAGCUUCAGAACCCUAUUCGAAAGAAUCUUUCACUAUAAUUGAUGGAUAAAAUCAGCUAAGGGGGCUGGAGAGAUGGCUCAUUGGGUAAGAGCAUGGGUUGCUUUGGACCAAAGAACAAUUCUAAGUACCAAGUGGUGGCUCACAAAUAUCGAUAACUCCAGUUCUGGGGCCUCUGUGGGAACCAGGCACAAAGGAGGUGCACAGACGUACACGCAGGCAACACAAAUACACACACAAAAUAAAAUCACAUUAAUAAUUUUUUAAGAACAGUUAAAGAGACGUGAGCUAAGAAAGUCUUCAGUCUCAGAAACAGAAGAAAAAUAAAGGCUGAAACAAAAUAGCCCUGCUUCUUCGUGUUCCAGCAGUAGAUGGGUGGUUGAGAUGAGGUCUUGUGUAAGCAUAGGUUGGCUUCAAAUUCUUUUUGUGGCUGAGGAUAACUCAACUCACCAUUCUCCUGCCUCUGCUCCCAAAUGCUGAGAUCACAGGAAAGAAGGUAAAAAAAAAUGUUACUACGUCACAGCCAACUGCUCUCUUCUGUUAGCAAGAGAAGUCUAGGCUGCCUGCAGAGAGAAAUAGCUACAACGACAACCAACAACAAAACCCUUAGAUGAUCCUUUAUUUUAUUCCAGAAUAGAUUCAAGCAGAAGAGCUGAUAAAGAUGCCCAGUCAAUAAGAGCUCCUAAGAAAACUGUGUCGUAUGCAAACCGUUAACUGAGUCUCUCGCAAACAAAAUUCCAUAUCUCAAAAAGAUUAAGCAGGGGUUGGGGAUUUAGCUCAGUGGUAGAGUGCUUGCCUAGGAAGUGCAAGGUCCUGGGUUCAGUCCCCAGCUCCGAAAAAAAGAACCAAAAAAAAAAAAAGAUUAAGCAGAAUGCAAUCAUAUCAGGAGUAUAAGGAUAGUUCAACAAUAGGAAAUUUAUUGCAAUGAUUAACCAUGUUAUCAAAAGAGAUGAAUUAACCAAUUCAUCUCUUCUGAAUUGACUCAUUCAGCCAAUAGAUGUUUAUUAAGAACCCACUAUGUGCUAGGUACUUUAUUAAGUCCUACGGCUAUGACAAUGAACAACAAAAUGUUGAAUUGGUAAUUAAUAAGUAUAAAUUAUAUCUAAUAUAUUAAUAUUUGGUUGUAGUAAAUGCUAUGGUAAAAAUAAAGCUGGCUACAAAAGAGAGAGAAUGAUAGAAGAAUGCUAUUCAACGUAGGUGGCCAGGCCAGGCAGUAGUGGCUCACACUUUUAAUCCCAGCGCUUGGAAGGCUGAAGCAGGUAGAUCUCUGAGUUCAAGGCCAACCUGGUCUACAGAGUGAGUUCCGGGAUCCCCCAAACCACCUCAAAAAAGUGUGUGUGUGUGUGUGUGUGUGUGUGUGUGUGUGUGUGUGUGUGUGUCCAGAGCAGGCCUCACUGAUGAGAUUAAAUUUAAGAAAGACCUAAAGGAAACGGGUAGGGGAUGACCAAAAGAAUAUUUGAAGACAAAGGGUUCCAGGGAGAGAGAACAACAAACGCAAAGGCCUUUAUGUGAGAGAGUGUUUAGUAUUUUCAAGAUCACACUUAUGGCUAAACAAAUUCAAACAGAACUCCACAUCAGAGAUAUGGGAGGCAGAGUGGCAGGUGAGUAAGGCCAGUGGUUCACUGUAAGGACAUUGGCUUUUGUUCUGAUUGAGGCUGACAGUAACUAGAAGGGCUUAAUUCUCAUUCAUUCUCUCUCUCUCUCUCUCUCUCUCUCUCUCUUUCUCUCUCUCUCUCUCUCUCUCUCUCUCUUUCUCCCUGAAGCAAGGUCUCAUGUAGCUGAGACUAGCUUUGAACUUGCAAUGUAGUAGAAGAUGACUUUGAACUUUGGGUCUUCCUACUUCUAACCCUCCAAGUAUUGUAACUAGAAGGCUUUGAAUAAAUAAUUGACAUUAUCCGAAUUUCAUGAUAAACAGCUUCUCUGGUUGCUGUUAAGAAUGGACUCAGGUAGCCAGGCAGUGGUGGUGCAUGCCUUUAAUCCCAGCACUUGGGAGGCAGAGACAGGAGGGUAUCUGUGAGUUUGAGGCCAGCCUGGUCUAAAAGUGAGUUCCCAAACAGAGAAACCCUGUUUCAACAACAAAAACAAAACAGAAAGAAAGAAAGAAAGUAAGAAAGAAAGAAAGAAAGAAAGAAAGAAAGAAAGAAAGAAAGAAAGAAAGGGAGAAAGAAAGAAAAAGGAACACCCCCCCCCCAAAAAAAGAAAGAAAAAAGAAUAAACUCAAGCAAGAUGGCUCAGUGGGUAAAACAUUUGCUGCCAAGCCUGGGACCCUGAAUUUAAUCCUGGAGAACGUUGACUCUUGAAAGAUACACACACAAUAAAUAAACUUAACUUAAAAACAAUCAGUCAUGGUGUGUACAUUUUAAAUCCAGCAGUCAGGAGAAAAAGAUAAGUAGAUCUCUGAGUUCAAGUCUAGCCUGGUCUACACAUCGAGUUCCAGGACAGCAAGGACUAUCUUGUCCAAAAUCCAACAAACUAACUAACAAAAGGAAUUGACUCAGUCAGUUGUGAUGGUCAUAAUUAGCAAUACUUUAGAGGCAGGGGUUCUCACCAAUUACAAAUAGAAUUAGGCAUUCAAGUCCAGGCUGGGAUGCAACCCAUCUCUUAAGAAGGAAGGAUUUGGUUCUUGAUUUCAGACAAGAUAGGAAAAUGCUUCUUCUUCCUUCCCCUUUCCCUGCUUCCAUUCCUCCCUUCUCUGCCUCCAGAGUACUGGAUUGAUGUUUGCAUCACCCCUGGCUGAGUUUAUUCUAAACCCAGGAACCAGAUGUGCAACUAUAGCAAGAGUGCUUGCCUAUCAGGCCUGAGGCCCUGGCUCAUUCCCCCACACCAGAGGGAGGGAGAGUGUUAAGGUGGGAAAAUUCUAGACUAGCCCAAGUAAGGGGCCGUGGUGACUAGUGUCAGGAUGUCAGAAACACAUGUGGGAAGUAGAUACAUCUUAGGUAUGCUAUGAGUUCCUGUACACUAUAAAAUUAGCUUUUAACAAGGAGGGACCUUCAAAUGUCCGUCUAUUUUUACAGAGGGCCCUCAAGACUUCUCUCAGAAUAAAUAACAGAGUUGCCAGGCAAAAGCUGCAGUUUUUGAGUCAGGAUUCAAAUGCCUAUUUGAAGUUUGUAAAUCAGCAAUGUAGUUACAUAUUUGGAAUUUUGUUUCCAUCACCACAAUAAUUGCUGAAAGACUUCGGUCACUUCUGACAGAAACCCUACUUAAUCCCAUCACCCUGAUCCUCCUCCUAAGCCAGCAUUAGGCAAUCUACUAUGGGUAUAACUUAACCCAUUCUGAAUAUUGCACACAAAGGGAGUUGUGCAACAUGUGAUCCAUUGUGACUGGCUUGCUUCACUUAGUGUGGUUUUAAAGCUUGACUGUGUUAUAACAUUUUUUUAAAUUGGGUUCUCUAUUAUUUGGUUGUUUUUUAUUCUAUGUCAGUGGAAUUUGUUGUUUUUGCUCCCCUCUCUCUGUGUCUCUGUCUCUCUCUCUCUCUCUCUCUCUCUCUCUGUCUCAUUCUCUCUCUCUCUCUAGAUAUCUAUCUCUUUGUCUCUCUCUGCCUCUCAUCUUUAGAGACAAGGUCUCAUGUACACCAGGCUGGCCUUAAACUUGCUGUGUUGUUGAGGAUGACCAUGAAUUCCUCAUCCUCUUACCUCUGCCCCUUAAGAGCUGUGGUUGCAGGCGUGCACCACUACCCCUGGGCUAAUACCCAGCUUCCUCUUUCUCUGAGUCUGGGUCUUCCUUGGCUCCACUACCAGGACAGUACUCCUAGCCUCAGAAACGAUUUCCUUUGCAAUUAGCCAAGACUCUAACUUAGCUUUCUGUCCCUAGGUCUUUGCAACCUCUCAGAUUCUCGUCUUGAAGGUGACCUAGCACUAUUUGUGUUUUCUUGGUUUAUAUAGACCACGAUUCAUGUGAUGUGGGAGAGAAUGUGAACGCCACAGACAGAAGUCACUGCAAGCCAUCUUGGAAGCCACAGGAACAAGUAUGUGGUUGUGUCGUAAUUAAAGACUGAACAUUUUGCUUUUAGAUAACUCCCCAAAAAACAAAACAAAUACCUCAUCUAUACCAUCUAUUACCUAAGGAAAGCACUCGUUUGACAUUUUGAAAGGAAUUAAUCUCUCUUUUUUAAAUUUUUUCUUAUUGAUUCUUUGUCAAUUUCACAUCAUGAACCCCAAUCCCACUCCUGUCUCCCAUAUCUGCCCUUGCAACCUCCCCACCUAAAGAAAAGAAAACAACCAAAAAACAAAAAACAAAAAAAAAAAUCUCCCCUCCGUGGAAGCUGCAGUGAGUCACGGUGUGCCACGCAGGGUACCCUUCUGGCCAAACGGCUUCCUUAGCAGAUGUUCAUUGCAAUGAGUCAGUGGCCUCUGGCUUCUGCCACACUUUCAGUACUGGAUCCUCACCGGACUCCUGUCGGAUAGCCUGUUGCUGCCCUGUGCCAUGGAGAUCCUGUAGCUUUAGUUCUGCUGGAUUGGCCCCUUCACACACUCCAGCAGUUCCUAAAUGAGGUAGAUGAUAGACCAACUCAAAGUCCUGGCCUGGGCCCUAGCUGAGUUGGUCAGCUCACCAGGUCUCCCAUACCCACUCUACCCAGGCUAGCUUCCCUGCUUUGUCCAGGCAAGGGGCAGGACCAGCUCUCCUGUGCCCUUGUUAUUAGGACAAGCUCUUCUGUACUGCCCCCUUCAAAGGGCAGGGCUAGCUCUCAUGCUCCUAGAGCUCCCUCCACCAAGGCCAGCUCUACUGUGCUGCUCAGACUGGGUGGGGGACCU